rnacentral:lncRNA from 1 species
CAGAUCUCCAACCGCUCGGGGUCCCGUGAUUUCCAUUAAUGAAUUCGCACACUGGCGUUACCACUCAACACACCGACGACUGCAUUGUACCAUCACUAGAAUCUAGUGCUUAAUGGCAACUCGCCCUUUCCAAAGGGUCUCAACAAGUUCAGCGAGGUGAAAUUCAGCUUUUGCCCUAUCAUCUGAAUUCACAGGACUUCCAUCUAACAUCUAAGCAAGACGAUAGACAACAAUUAGCUAAAUCUACAUUAUUGGACAUGAUGGCUAAGUAAAAAACAUCACACCAGAAUCAAGGAUGACAUGAUCCUGUAUUUAGAAAAUCCUAAAAGAUCCACCAAAAAACUACUUGAAGCAAUAAAGGAGUUUAGCAAGGUCACAGGAUAAAAGAUUAAUGUACAAAAAUCAACUG